rnacentral:rRNA from 1 species
UACGUAGGGUGCGAGCGUUGUCCGGAAUUAUUGGGCGUAAAGAGCUCGUAGGCGGUGUGUCACGUCGGCCGUGAAAACCUGCAGCUUAACUGUGGGCGUGCGGUCGAUACGGGCAUCACUGGAGUUCGGCAGGGGAGACUGGAAUUCCUGGUGUAGCGGUGAAAUGCGCAGAUAUCAGGAGGAACACCGGUGGCGAAGGCGGCUUUCUGGACAGGUACUGACGCUGGAGACGCGAAAGCGUGGGGAGCAAACAGG